GGGGAAUAUUGCGCAAUGGAGGGAACUCUGACGCAGCAACGCCGCGUGAAGGAAGAAGGCUUUCGGGUUGUAAACUUCUUUGAUCGGGGACGAAGAUGACGGUACCCGAGGAACAAGCCACGGCUAACUACGUGCCAGCAGCCGCGGUAAUACGUAGGUGGCAAGCGUUGUCCGGAAUUACUGGGUGUAAAGGGCGUGUAGGCGGGAGGACAAGUCAGAUGUGAAAGCCCAUGGCUUAACUGUGGAAUUGCAUCUGAAACUGUUUUUCUUGAGUGCUGGAGAGGAAAGUGGAAUUCCUAGUGUAGCGGUGAAAUGCGUAGAGAUUAGGAGGAACACCAGUGGCGAAGGCGGCUUUCUGGACAGUAACUGACGCUGAGGCGCGAAAGCGUGGGGAGCAAAC
rnacentral:rRNA from 1 species